GGGACUCUUUGGUGUGUAGGUAAGUGACAUGCUUGACUUCCUGAUGCUUACAAUGGAGAGAAAGUCAGACACCUUUGGGCAGACUCCAGCUCCGAGAAGGAACCUGGGUGAGAAUCACCCACGCAUGUGCAGCUAACUCAAGAGUGGCCAGACUGCGAGGGUUUGCAGGUUCUUCAACCAUGAAGAUGUGGAUGACCUGGAGGAAGGCUGGAGAGACUGAAAGGGGCUGGAUAACAAAUAACUGGUAUUUGAGGCCACCUGGGCCCUGUAACCUGGCCCCUCAACUCUACUUCUGUGUCUUGCAGUAGGUGAUAUGGAG
rnacentral:lncRNA from 1 species